GAUGAAGAACGCAGCAAAAUGCGAUAAGUAAUGAGAAUUGCAGAAUUCAGUGAAUCAUCGAAUCUUUGAACGCACAUUGCGCCCGCCAGUAUUCUGGCGGGCAUGCCUGUUCGAGCGUCAUUUCAACCCUCAAGCCCUCGGGUUUGGUGUUGGGGAUCGGCGAGCCUUUCUGGCAAGCCGGCCCCGAAAUCUAGUGGCGGUCUCGCUGCAGCCUCCAUUGCGUAGUAGUAAAACCCUCGCAACUGGAACGCGGCGCGGCCAAGCCGUUAAACCCCCAACUUCUGAAUGUUGACCUCGGAUCAGGUAGGAAUACCCGCUGAACUUAAGCAUAUCAAUAAGCGGAGGA
rnacentral:misc_RNA from 1 species